GCCGGCGUGGCGCAAUGGUAGCGCGUAGCUUUCCUAUGAUGUAUGAAGUCUUAAAGGAAAGGCUGAAGUUGCGGGUUCGAUCCCCGUCGUCGGUU